UUGCCUACGGGGCGCAGCAGUGGGGGAUAUUGCACAAUGGGGGGAACCCUGAUGCAGCGACGCCGCGUGGGUGAAGGAGCGUUUCGGCGCGUAAAGCCCUAUCGGCAGGGAAGAAGAUGACGGUACCUGACCAAGAAGCCCCGGCUAACUACGUGCCAGCAGCCGCGGUAAUACGUAGGGGGCAAGCGUUAUCCGGAUUUACUGGGUGUAAAGGGAGCGUAGACGGUUAUGUAAGUCUGGAGUGAAAGCCCGGGGCCCAACCCCGGGACUGCUUUGGAAACUGUGUAAAUGGGGUACAGGGGGGG
rnacentral:rRNA from 1 species